AGAAUCAACGCUGGCGGCGUGCCUAACACAUGCAAGUCGAACGCGAAAGCCCCGCAAGGGGUUAGUAGAGUGGCAAACGGGUGAGUAACACGUGGGUGACCUGCCUUCGAGUGGGGGAUAACGUCCCGAAAGGGACGCUAAUACCGCAUGAUAUCCUACCUUUGGAAAGGUGGAGAUCAAAGCUGGGGAUCGCAAGACCUGGCGCUUGAAGAGGGGCCCGCGCCUGAUUAGCUAGUUGGUGAGGUAACGGCUCACCAAGGCUACGAUCAGUAUCCGG
rnacentral:rRNA from 1 species